GACGAACGCUGGCGGCGUGCUUAACACAUGCAAGUCGAACGAUGAAGCGGGUGCUUGCACUCGUGGAUUAGUGGCGAACGGGCGAGUAACACGUGAGUAACCUGUCCUUUUCUUUGGGAUAACGGCUGGAAACGGCUGCUAAUACUGGAUAUUCAGGCUGCAUCGCAUGGUGUGGUUUGGAAAGGUGUUUUCUGGGAUUGGGUGGGCUCGCGGCCUAUCAGCUUGUUGGUGGGGUGAUGGCUUACCAAGGCUUUGACGGGUAGCCGGCCUGAGAGGGUGGGCGGUCGCACUGGGACUGAGAUACGGCCCAGACUCCUACGGGAGGCAGCAGUGGGGAAUAUUGCACAAUGGACGAAAGUUUGAUGCAGCGACGCCGCGUGGAGGGUGUAGGCCUUCGGGUUGUGAACUCCUUUUUCUCGCGAAAAAGGCACAGUUUUGGCUGUGUUGAUGGUAGUGGGGGAAGAAGCGCCGGCUAACUACGUG
rnacentral:rRNA from 1 species